rfam:Litorimicrobium taeanense strain DSM 22007 genome assembly, contig: Ga0070518_114
CUCAUGGGGUCUGCGUCCACCCCGUGAGGCUCAGGCCCAAGGCUCGCAUCCUUUGUUUCCCAUCUCUGGAAGGAUGUCUUAUG